rnacentral:rRNA from 1 species
UCCUACGGGAGGCUGCAGUCGAGAAUCUUCGUCAAUGCGCGAAAGCGUGAACGAGCGACGCCGCGUGAGCGAUGAAGCCCUUCGGGGUGUAAAGCUCUUUUGUUAGGGAAAAACUUUGAUGGUACCUAUCGAAUAAGAGGUUGCUAACUCUGUGCCAGCAGCAGCGGUAAUACAGAGACCUCAAGCGUUAUCCGGAUUUAUUGGGCGUAAAGCGUCUGUAGGUUGAAUAAAUAGUCAGAUGUUAAAUUCUAGGGCUCAACCUUAGAACUGCAUUUGAAACGUUUAUUCUAGAGGACAAUAGAGGCAAGUAGAACUUAUAAUGUAGCAGUAAAAUGCGUUGAUAUUAUAGGGAAUACCAAAGGCGAAGGCAUCUUGCUGGAUUGUUCCUGACACUGAGAGACGAAAGCGUGGGUAGCGAAUGGGAUUAGAUACCCCAGUAGUCCACGCCGUAAACGAUGGAUAUUAGGCAUUAGGAGUGUCGACCCUUUUAGUGCCGAAGCUAACGCGUUAAAUAUCCCGCCUGGGAAGUACGGCCGCAAGGCUAAAACUCAAAGGAAUAGACGGGGACCUGCACAAGCGGUGGAACAUGUGGUUUAAUUCGACGAUAAACGAGGAACCUUACCCAGGCUAGAAGCCAUUCGAAUUCCGAUGAAAGUUGGAAGUGCCGCAAGGAGCGAAUGGACAGGUGCUGCAUGGUUGCCGUCAGCUCGUGCCGUGAGGUGUUCGGUUAAGUCCAGCAACGAGCGCAACCCCUGUCAAAUGUUGUAUUUCUCAUUUGAUACUGCCCGAGUUAAUUGGGAGGAAGGUGGGGACGACGUCAAAUCAGCAUGGCCCUAGACGCCUGGGGCUACACACAUGUUACAAUGGAAAGUUACAAAGGGUCGCCAAACCGAAAGGUGGAGCUAAUCCCAUCAAAACUUUUCUCAGUUCGGAUUGAGGGCUGCAACUCGCCCUCAUGAAGCCGGAAUCGCUAGUAAUCGUGAAUCAGCUAUGUCACGGUGAAUACGUUCUCAGGUCUUGUACUCACCGCCCGUCACAUCAAGAGAGUCGGUAAUACCCGAAGCUCCUCUGUCUAACAGGGGGAACCACGGUAGGAUCGGCAAUAAGGAUGAAGUCGUAACAAGGCAUCCGUAGCGGAAGCUGUGGAUG